GCCGAAAUAGCUCAGUUGGGAGAGCGUUAGACUGAAGAUCUAAAGGUCCCUGGUUCGAUCCUGUGUUUCGGCA
rfam:Salmo salar isolate Sally breed double haploid chromosome ssa27, whole genome shotgun sequence.